CCAAUUGCUGAAGGAGAACUAAGCUAGGGUAUCCAGAUCUAGGUUUAAUAUGUGGGAUCCGAUCUAGCUUAUCAAUCCCUCGAUCUAAUAAACUAAUCUAAAAUCAUACAAAUAUAGGGCAAAACAUUUACAGGCAUUAAGCUCAAACACAUUAAUUAGGAAUUUCAGCAUUUAGACAUAAAUCAAACUAUUCAAAAUUGUAUUUUAAAUUAAUAGAAAAAUCCCAUAAUUAGAUCUGGAAAUUUAACUUAACAUUAUUACAAAUUUAUCAACACAAAUAAAUACACAAAAAGAAUAGAAGGCAUAAAUGACAAACUUUGGGAGUGAUUGGUUUGUUGGCCUCGGUGUUCCUCCUAGUUGUGUCGUAAUAACACUAAGGCUACUACUAUCUCUCCUCGUGUGUGGCUACUCCUAGUUGGUUCUCUCCUUACUUUUCACUCUAACAUGCGGGGCAACGAGUGCCAAGAGUGAGUAUCCUCAACAUCUUCUCUCUCCUUGCUUUAUAUAGAGCUCUUUACUUAGUUGUGAUUGGCCCACUUCACCCACUUGCACCACUUGCUUCUGAAAAAGCUGCUCUCCCCCACCCAUGUCAAGCAAAAGAAUUUAUAAAGUAAUAAAAGGGGAGUUGCAUCUGAUCUAGGUGCAAGGUUUCUUCAAAACGCUGCAGUUUUUACACCAAACAAUUUGUAAGAAGAUCAUUUCACAAAAUUAUAUUUGCACUUGGUCCAAAU
rnacentral:lncRNA from 1 species